GCCUUUUGGUUUGGAAUAACACGGGGAAACUUGUGCUAAUACCGAAUAAGCCUUUACAGGGAAAGUUUUAACGCCGAAAGAUGAGCCUGCACUUGAUUAGCUAGUUGGUAAGGUAAAAGCUUACCAAGGCAACGAUCAAUAGCUGUUCUUAGAGGAAGACCAGCCACAUUGGGACUGAGACACGGCCCAGACUCCUACGGGAGGCAGCAGUGGGGAAUCUUGCACAAUGGGGGAAACCCUGAUGCAGCGAUGCCGCGUGAGUGAAGAAGGCCUUUGGGUUGUAAAACUCUUUCGUCGGGGAAGAAAAUGACUGUACCCGAAUAAGAAGGUCCGGCUAACUUCGUGCCAGCAGCCGCGGUAAUACGAAGGGACCUAGCGUAGUUCGGAAUUACUGGGCUUAAAGAGCUCGUAGGUGGUUAAAAAAGUUGAUGGUGAAAUCCCAAGGCUCAACCUUGGAACUGCCAUCAAAACUUUUUAGCUAGAGUGUGAUAGAGGUAAGUGGAAUUUCUAGUGUAGAGGUGAAAUUCGUAGAUAUUAGAAAGAACACCAAAUGCGAAGGCAACUUACUGGGUCACUACUGACACUGAGGAGCGAAAGCAUGGGUAGCGAAGAGGAUUAGAUACCCUCGUAGUCCAUGCCGUAAACGAUGUGUGCUAGACGUUGGAAAUAUAUUUUUUCAG
rnacentral:rRNA from 1 species